CCCGCUCCUUCUCCUAUUUGGGCCGGCCUUACAUGGAUAAUAUACUAGCGGUGACUUGAACAAAAAAUCAGGUCAGUAUUGAUCCCUGCAGAUCCCCAACCGUCGUCCUGCUGCUCUCCGUCCCACACGCCGUGCCGCCAGCCCCUUCAACGCCGCCUCCCGAUGCGUCGGCCUCCCCAGACGCGAGCGACCUGCGGCCCUGCAUCCCCAACGCCGCCGGCCGAGGACGCCGCGCCGCCAGCCCCUUCAACGCCGCCGCCCGACACGAGGACGACCUCCCUCGACGAGAGCGACCUGCGGCCCUGCAUCCCCAACGCCGCCGCCGCCCGAGGAUGGCGCCCUGCAACUUCCAUUUCCCGAGGACUCCGCGUCCUGCGCGUCACCUGCCACCACACUGCAGGAGAUCUCCGGCCACCUGUGCUGCACCAGAUAAAAGGUCCAGCCGUUCAGCAGAUCGUUUGGCCUCCGCCGCUGCACUGUGCAGGUUCCAGAUUGUAAAGGCUUCAAUUUUGGUGCUGGUGAAAGGUUAUUGACGUCUCCUGAACCUUUGCUGGAGCCGGAUGGUACUAACGUGAUCUGUCUUCGAUCAACAAAUUCCAAUGAUUAAGACGUGGUAGGCUGGAGGAUUUAACAACACAUCCAGAUGUACAUGCACGCAAACUGCUUCUUCGGUCGACAGUGCUAACUCAUGGUGUCCCCGCGCUCAUGGUGUCCCAAUAGCUGGGGCGAGUUUCUUUUAAGAUCUGCAUGGAUUAUUAUAGUUUGUCAGUGAAGUAUUUAAAUUUUGUGUAAUUGAUCUUUAAGGCUUUGGAGCGUCAUGUUCCCUGUAAUACACAUGCUUUUGUUGAAUUUAAUAUGGCAUUCCGCGUACUAA